AAUUACACCAUCAUCAAACUAUCUCAUAAUAUCAUUAGUGACCUAAAUUAAAGCAAGAUAAUUGCCCCAGAAGACAACAAACCGUCAUGGAGAAUACUAAUAACGCCGAGAGCCCAUUCCAGCACUCUGCCAGGAGGUCCUUCUCGUUAAAGUAAUAACAGCAGAAAUGGGACCCUUAAAGCCUGCUGAUUUUUGACUAAGUCGUUGUCAAGGGUAAUCUGGGGCAUUUUAAAUAAGUCAUGGCUUUUAUGAAAGACGAAAAUGAUGUGAUAUCGAAAGAAUGACUUACAGGAAGUGAACCUCUAUGCAACACCAUUCACAGUUGACCAGAUGGUUUGGGAAAUGUGAUCUCAUUGAGAGGAGGACUAUCCAGUUAUUUUAAUGGCAAGCAUGACAAGUGUGUGCUUAUUUAUGAUCAAAGCACUGGCUUUUAGCAUCCUCCCCUCUGCUGUGUCAUCACUGAUCUAUGAUAGAGUGAGAAGAUAACAUUGGUUUAUAUUGAACACACAUUUUGCUGUAGAUAACAUUGUGAGAGCUGUCAGAUAAA
ensembl:lincRNA